rnacentral:rRNA from 1 species
GACGAACGCUGGCGGCGUGCUUAACACAUGCAAGUCGAACGGAAAGGCCCUGCUUUUGUGGGGUGCUCGAGUGGCGAACGGGUGAGUAACACGUGAGUAACCUGCCCUUUACUUUGUGAUAACUUCAGGAAACUGGGGCUAAUACCGGAUAGGAGCUCCUGCUGCAUGGUGGGGGUUGGAAAGUUUCGGCGGUUGUGGAUGUACUCGGGGCUUAUCAGCUUGUUGGUGGGGUAGUGGCUUACCAAGGCUUUGACGGGUAGCCGGCCUGAGAGGGGGAACGGCGACAAGGGGACUGAGAGACGGACCAGACGCGUACGGGAGGCAGUAGGGGGGAAUAUUGCACAAUGGGCGGAAGCGUGAUGCAGCAACGCUGCGUGCGGGAUGAAGGCCUUCGGGUUGGAAACCGCAUUCGCCUGAGACGAAGCGGGAGUGACGGUAAUGGGUAAAGAAGCACCGGCUAACUACGUG